rnacentral:rRNA from 1 species
UUUUUGGAGAGUUUGAUCCUGGCUCAGGAUAAACGCUGGCGGCGUGCCUAAUACAUGCAAGUCGAACGGAAAGGCUCCUACUCUGUGUUUAAUUUAUUUGAACAUGGUGUUGGAGUACUCGAGUGGCGGACGGCUGAGUAACGCGUAGGAACGUACCCUAAAGUGAGGAAUAACUGCUCGAAAGAGUAGCUAAUACCGCAUAUGGUCUUCGGAUUAAAGCCUUCGGGCGCUUUGGGAACGGCCUGCGUAAGAUUAGCUUGUUGGUGAGGUAAUGGCUCACCAAGGCGACGAUCUUUAGCUGGUCUGAGAGGAUGAUCAGCCAGACUGGGACUGAGACACGGCCCAGACUCCUACGGGAGGCAGCAGUAGGGAAUUUUCCACAAUGGGGGCAACCCUGAUGGAGCAACGCCGCGUGCAGGAUGAAGGCUUUCGGGUCGUAAACUGCUUUUAUUUGUGACGAUUAUGACAGUAGCAAAUGAAUAAGGAUCGGCUAACUACGUGCCAGCAGCCGCGGUCAUACGUAGGAUCCGAGCGUUAUCCGGAAUCACUGGGCGUAAAGAGUUGCGUAGGUGGUUUGUUAAGCAAAUAGUGAAAUCUUGAGGCUCAACCUUAAGGCUAUUAUUUGAACUGGCAGACUUGAGUUUGGUAGAGGUUAUUGGAAUUCCAAGUGUAGGAGUGAAAUCCGUAGAUAUUUGGGGGAACACCGAUGGCGUAGGCAGAUAACUGGACCAAUACUGACACUAAGGCACGAAAGCGUGGGGAGCGAACGGGAUUAGAUACCCCGGUAGUCCACGCCCUAAACGAUGGGUGCUAGUUGUUAGGAGUAUCGACCCUCUUAGUAACGAAGCUAACGCGUUAAGCACCCCGCCUGUGGAGUACGAGCGCAAGCUUAAAACAUAAAGGAAUUGACGGGGACCCGCACAAGCGGUGGAGCGUGUUGUUUAAUUCGAUGGUAAGCGAAGAACCUUACCCAGGCUUGACAUCCUGUGAAGCAUUGCGAAAGCAAAGUGUGCCUUCGGGAACACAGUGACAGGUGAUGCAUGGCCGUCGUCAGCUCGUGUCGUGAGAUGUUUGGUUAAGUCCAUCAACGAGCGCAACCCUUAUAGUCUGUUGUAUUUUUCAGGCUAGACUGCCCUGGUAACAGGGAGGAAGGAGGGGAUGAUGUCAGGUCAGUAUUUCCCUUACGUCUGGGGCUACAAACACGCUACAAUGGCCGGUACAAAGGGCAGCCAACCCGCGAGGGGGAGCUAAUCCCAUCAAAGCCGGUCUCAGUUCGGAUAGCAGGCUGAAACUCGCCUGCUUGAAGCUGGAAUCGCUAGUAACGGUAAGUCAGCACAUUACCGUGAAUACGUUCCCGGGUCUUGUACACACCGCCCGUCAAACCAUGAAAGUCACCAAUACCUGACGUCUGAACAUUGCUUCGGCCUAAGGUAGGGGGGAUGAUUGGGGUUAAGUCGUAACAAGGUAUCCGUACCGGAAGGUGCGGAUGGAUUACCUCCUUU